CUCCGUAUAACCUCAAACGGUUUUCUCUUCGCUAUUGUCCAACGCUGGAAUUAACAUACAUACACUGGCAAAGUGAAAACAGGUUAAGCUUUUUGCUCGACUCGAAGAGGUCAGUAGUUACGGACAUGGCCCAAAUACGUUGCCCACGAUUGACUAAUGCCAAGCACUUCAUGUGUAACAAGGUGUCGCAAAUAAGCGAGUUUAUCAGGCCUGAUAAGGUUUUCUGCGCUGCUUAUCAGAGACAUUCUGGUGACGACGACUACUCCCUUCAGUCACAAAAAUGGCAACGGAUCAGGUCGUAUAGUAAACACGCGAACAGCAUGACAACAUACAACAUCGAAAUACAGUAAAACCUCUAAAAAUAAAUGCGGUUACUAAGUUAA